rnacentral:rRNA from 1 species
UCCCAGACUCCUACGGGAGGCAGCAGUGGGGAAUAUUGCACAAUGGGGGAAACCCUGAUGCAGCGACGCCGCGUGAGCGAUGAAGUAUUUCGGUAUGUAAAGCUCUAUCAGCAGGGAAGAAAAUGACGGUACCUGACUAAGAAGCCCCGGCUAACUACAUGCCAGCAGCCGCGGUAAUACGUAGGGGGCAAGCGUUAUCCGGAUUUACUGGGUGUAAAGGGAGCGUAGACGGUCCUGCAAGUCAGAUGUGAAAUCCGGGGGCUCAACCCCCGAACUGCAUUUGAAACUGUUGGUCUUGAGUAUCGGAGAGGCAGGCGGAAUUCCUAGUGUAGCGGUGAAAUGCGUAGAUAUUAGGAGGAACACCAGUGGCGAAGGCGGCCUGCUGGACGACAACUGACGGUGAGGCGCGAAAGCGUGGGGAGCAAACAGGAUUAGAUACCCUCGUA